UGUGAGGAGGGUUUUGCUGAUCAAAAUACAGGCCACUGCAAGAUGCAGAGUCCUAUAUGAUUUCUUCAGCAGUAAACACAGACAGAACCUUGGUAGAAGUGGCAUGUGAAUUGGACACUUAACAGACUUACAGCAAAUCCAAGAAAUCCAUAAAGGACAAUGCUAUGUAUGCAGGCAGAGCAUAUUACUCCAAGUCCCUUCUCUCUUACAAGACAAACUGCAUGGGUCACCCAAGUAGCAAUGAAUUUACC